CGGCAAACUCGUUAUGCCGUGCCACCUCUUUCAUUCGACGAAUUUAAUCACAAACUCGGAAGGAUCAUACACGAUGACUUUCAAUGGAUCUGAGUAAUGAUUCCGAGUGCUUUUCCGGGAUUUCCGUUUGUGAUGUAGUUGUUGAUGUCGGCAUUGUAAAGGGCUUCCAUGGGAUACAACUUGCAAUCGAUAUGCUUUGACGGUAGACAAAGGUUGCCCUGCGUGAAAGAAGAAGGGUUGUGUUGUGUCGCGUGCAUACUGAAGCUUAUAUAUGUAUAUACAGAUUGUAAACGUAUACUGCAGGAUGAAAUAAUUCAGAGACACCACCCUUGUUACUUUAACGGCCUCGAGAGAACUAUAUAAAUAAGGUGUAUCGACGAUCGAACCUAUCAUUUAUUUAGAGAUCGGCCUAAAAAUGUAUUUUAUCAAUCGAUUAAUAAACGGAAUCAAAUAAUUCUUUGCGUUUGACAUUAGAUCCUAUAUUCCUCCAAUUGUAUUUCUUUCAAUUAAUCUCAAUGAAGAAAAAAAAAAAAAAAAAAAACAAAAGGAUUGAUGAUAAAUAAUAAAUAAUAAAAGGAGAAAUUAGAAAUAAUAUGAAGAAGAAGACAUUUGCGUCAUGAAAAAGGGGUGUAAGAAGAAAAAAGGAAUAAGAAGGGAAUCCAAAAAAUGUCGAUCUUUCAUUCACUAGCAAUGCGAGAAGUUAUUUCCUCCCCCUUCCCUCACACCUGUCACCAAUGAGAAUUCGCUCUAGUGUUACGACAAGAGCAGCGGCCAGGGCUAGCGGCCAGGCAGGCAGGCAAUCCCCGGUGCAGACGUACUCGGCCGAGUGCAAGUGUACCGAGCGUUCACUUCAGUGCUAGAGUAUCGACC
rnacentral:lncRNA from 1 species